rfam:Corynebacterium glutamicum strain ATCC31830 R-plasmid pCG4, complete sequence.
GCUUUCCCCCAGGUUGUGACUGGGUGAUAAGCGAACACCUUACGAGCUUGGACCCUCGUAGGGUGUUCUUUUUUGUGU